GCCUUAUCAAGAGAGGUGGAGGGAGACGGCCCUGUGAAGCCCGGCAACCAGCGCCCAGGAGCGCCAGGUGCCAAUUCCGGCGAGGUCACUCGCAAGAUAAGGG
rnacentral:ncRNA from 21 species